rnacentral:rRNA from 1 species
CAAUAGCGUAUAUUAAAGUUGUUGCAGUUAAAAAGCUCGUAGUUGGAUUUCUGGUGGGAGCGAUCGGUCUGGCGCUUAGCGCGAGUACUUGCAUCGUCUCCGGCCAUCCUUGGGGAGAGUCUGUCUGGCAUUAGGUUGUCGGGCAGAGGAUCCUCAUCGUUUACUGUGAAAAAAUUAGAGUGUUCAAAGCAGGCUCAUGCCGUUGAAUAUAUUAGCAUGGAAUAAUAAGAUAGGACUUUGGUACUAUUUUGUUGGUUUGCGCACCAAAGUAAUGAUUAAUAGGGACAGUUGGGGGUAUUCGUAUUCCGUUGUCAGAGGUGAAAUUCUUGGAUUUACGGAAGACGAACUACUGCGAAAGCAUUUACCAAGGAUGUUUUCAUUAA